rnacentral:lncRNA from 1 species
GGGGGGGGGCGCAGAGCGUGUGUCACUCGCUCUCUCGCUCGGUGUCUAGAGGAUGUGCUGAAUGGUGAGCCGGGAGGCGGCGGCGGCCGAGGAGCGGUAUACGGAGGCGGCUGGCAGCCCGGGCAGCCCGGCUCGGCGGCUCUUCGCCCUCCGAGACUCCGCAUCCACCGCGGGCGCCCGACCCCGCGUCCCGCCCGGGCAUGGCCCGGCGCCUCGCCCGCGAGCGCCCCGCCUGCUAAGCCACGCCGGAGGAGGUGCGGAGGCCGAGAAGCCGGCGAGGGAGCAGACGCGAGAACCUCCGGAGCCGAGAAGGGAGCCCCGCGCCCCGCGCCCCGUCCCUGCCGCGCUCGCCCGGGCCGCCCAGAGCCCCGAUGAGCCCUGAUGGCCGGGGCUCAGCCGGGAGUGCACGCUCUGCAACUCAAGCCCGUGUGCGUGUCCGACAGCCUCAAGAAGGGCACCAAAUUCGUCAAGUGGGAUGAUGACUCCACUAUUGUCACUCCAAUUAUUUUGAGGACUGACCCUCAGGGAUUUUUCUUUUACUGGACCGAUCAAAACAAGGUAAGAAGUAAACCAUGUCUUAUUUUUUCCAGUUAGUUGCUGAUUUGCAAAGGGUUUAUCUUUCUAUCCAUUUCAUGGAUGACUUUUUGCAGUAUAUUUAAAGAUUCUACUUAAAAAGAAUAUCUAAGGUGGAAAAGUCUUGGGAUUUUCCAAAGACUAGAGUUUGAAAUAGUAGAUGUGCUAAAUUCUAGAAUUUUCAGGACAAGAACAUGGAGCUAUGAAUUACCUUUGUUUUAGAGGGAACUUAGGCAGUAUAACUGAUGUAAGCCCCCCCCUCCAACACUACCCCCUAAAGAAUGAAGAAAAAUGGUGAGAAAGUCACUUUUGAGACUGGUGACUGUAACUGUGGCUUUUUGUUUCCUCUUCCUUCUCCCCUUUGCUGCUUAUUAAGGUUUCUCCCACCUUAGCAGGAAUGUGGCCUUGAUAACUUGUUCACAUUAGAAAAUCAAGGAUAAGACUCCUUGAGCUUGUUUCUUCAACUUUUGGGAGUUUCUUCCCAUUUUAGCUUUCUGCCCACCAUGUUAUGGAUUUAGAAUCUCAUUUAUUAUGAAACCAAUUGAGAUGAUUCCCCAUUGAAUUAUUAAAAAGUAGAAUGUCUGCAGAUCAUAAGAUUUAUCUGGAGUUUAGCGGGCAGUUAGACAAGCCUAUUCAUAGAAAGUGGUUAUUAUUUCAAUAGACAAUGCUAUGGUUCUGCACUUCAACUUGCAAGGCCACAGACCACAGAAUAUUUUGGUCCUGUAAGUUCUGAUACUUGGAAAGAGGGGAGAGGCUUUUUUGAGAAGGCUAAAUCCAUACUGAGACCAAUAAAAUACGAAAUUGUGAUGUGCUCUUUGUCUUUUCACAUCCUAGAGUUAGGUCCCUGAAUCCAAGGUAACUGGUGUUUGUCAACCUAGCUUUCUGCCUUUCAAGGCAGUCUGGAUUUCACCAGUGAGUAGUGGUAUGGAAAUUGCUCUGUGCAAUGGCAUGUUUGGGGUCAAGGUGGAGCCUGGGGAAACUCUUAGGAUGUGGAAAGUAACAUCUGGCCCAUGGAGCCAGGCCUAAGUGGGUCUGUUCAUAUGUCAUCCAAAAGGUAGAUUUGAGCUCUGGGUCCCUGGGGUUAUUUUCUGAAUAUGGGUGCCCUACAGUCAUCUCUGGCCACAGAUGUGGAGCUAAAUAAACCAUAGACCCCCAAACUAAUGUCAAAAAACGUCACUGAGUAAGAUUUCAUACUUACUAGCCUUUUUAAAGGCUGGGUAUUUGUACAAGAGACUAAACUGUCAGUUUGAUUUUUCAACGUGUAAAUCAAGCUUCUUUAAAAGCAACAGAAGGUAUUUUGGGGUUUUUAAAUAAUUCAUAGCCACUCAGUUAAGCUCCCCUUUAAGACCAAUCAUAAAUAUUUCUUUGCUUAAGAAAGAGUUUAGGACCAAAAGCUCUUUGAUGUACCUCUGUUGUUUGAAAAUGUCUUUCGAUUGUUUUAUACGAACCAUUUUCUCUUGGUUGCAGUGCUGUUUAUGACCAAUUGAAACACAUAAUGUGGUAGCCAUACUUCUGAAUCUUUAUUACUUUUCUUUUAUGGGUAUCAAUCUUACAGUUCUAGCCAAGAGAUGGUAAUUUUGUUUUUCACUUUUUAAAAUCAUCCCUCAGUCACAUGUCAGAGUUUGGGGGUUUAUUUUUUAAGUGAAUGAUCACAUAUCAGUAUCUCAAAGAUGAGAGGAUUUAAGAAAAUAAAUCAAACUUUGCGUGACUCCAAGCUUGUCAUUUUCUUCUGGCUUUAAGCCCAGUCCUGGAGCCAGAACAAGUGAGUGUCUCCCACUGCUAGGAGACAGGGGCCUGUAAGUGGUAUAUUAGUGUAAAUGAAUGUGAGAUGGUGCCUACACAUUUGGGGUGACCCGCUGAGCUUUUAGUUCAUGUUUUCGCAUAAGGUUAUUUGAAGGGAUGGGCCGAAUGUUACAAUCACAGUGUUACUUAGAGCUCCACUUUCUUUAAUGACACUUUCUUACUGUUUCUUUCUGACAAUAUUAGUAAUGUGAAUUUAUCACAUGUACUAUAGAGAUUAUGUCUCAGAGGAAAAAAUAUACCUUUUUUUAGUAUUUUCAGACGUAAUGUCAAUUUCAAAAAAGAAUAACGUGUUACAGUAAAUUUUGAGUAAAAUAUGUGGCCACUAAAUAAACACAUGUUGAUAUAAAUUAUUCUCUACAGGAAAAACAGUAAUAAGCCUUCCAUUUUAUCAAGAAAGUUCACAUAGUAUAUUUUACUAUUUCAGUAUGCUCUUUCCUUUAGAUAAUUCUUAUGAUUGAUUGACUUAAAUUUCUUGUUUUUUCUCAAGAGGAAAAAACAUAAUCCCAAAAGGAAAUAAAUAAUAUUCCCUUAUUAUUAUCUAUUACUUUUCCUUUUAAGGAAAAAUGAGGGCAUUGAAUAAAAUGAAUACUAAAUUAACAUUACACCUUAGCUUGGAGCCCAAGCUAAGAUUUAGCGGCACACUUAACUUAUGCACCCAUAUAAUAUUAUAAUAGUCUAUCAUUUUGAUGAAGUCAGUUUGUUCUUUUUUUCUAGAUAUGUACUAAGUGGAGGCAUAUUAAACAGCAUUUUAAAGGCCAAAGCCUGUCCCAAAAAAGUAAAAAAAUAAAACAUUUUGGAAAGAAAACAGGUGGUUGUUACCAUAAUUUUGUACGUCUUUAAAAAAUUAUUGGCAUAAGCUGACUUAGAAAAAAUUUCGUUGGUAUAUAUCGUGUUAGUUUCAGGUGUAUAGCAGAUUAAAUCAGUUGUACAUAUACAUAUACCCAUUCCUUUCCAGAUUCUUUUCCCAUUUAGGUUGUUACACAGCACUAAGGAGACUUUCCUGUGCUAUGCAGUAGGUCCUUGUUGAUUAUUUUAUAUAUAGUAGUCAUCUGAAAAAAUAUACUUUUAAAGUUUAUCCCCUGAUUUCCCCUUUCCCUCGGGGUUUCUGCAUGAGUUGGGAAGCUUGCUUUGCCAUCUGUGUGAUGGGCCUCUCUUCUCCCUGGAGCUUCUUCUUUUUUCUUUGUUCGUGUUUCUCCUUCGUCCCUGAAGCCUGUGCUGAAGUGUUUUGAUUCAUGAUAGCCUGAAGCCUAGCCUGCUCAGAGGCGAGCAGAGUGGCUUAAGAAGUGGCUUCGGACAGUAUUAGGAAUGUGAAUUUAUACAUGUACUAGGCAAAGAAUAUCAUUAUAAGAUCUUUCUUGUUAUAGCACUGGAGGGGGAUCUUACAUUUAACAGUGUCUUAUCCGUGUCCUCUCUCCUGUCGAGGCCGCAUGAUACCAUUGAACCACCAAUUUCAAGCCCCUGGUUUCACUCUCUAGGAACAUUGACAUGCUUCCUUCUGUCUCCCCUCCUUCGAUUUGUCACCAUAGAAAUGAUAGGCGGCAAAGACGACAGACAGCUCAGGUGAUAGAUGUAGGAAUUAAAAACCAGAGCUGGCAAGUGAUUUUUAGGUAGCAGAAAUGUGCUUUGAUGAAACCUUGAAAGAGAUGUUUGGGGUUGGUGGGAACAGAUAAAUAUGAACACUAUCUUAAGGGAUAAAUGUUCUUACCUUGUACCAGCUCUGGGCUCCUUUUAGUCAUUCUUUCCCUUUUAUUCUUGGCUCUGUAAAUCUUAUUGACUGUAAUUAGCAAAAAUGAGUUUCUGAAUAUGACUAUUUUAAGCAUGGUUGUUUUUCCUCUGUCAGUGUGUUAUGUAAAGAGGACCAGUUUAUUUGUAAUCGUGAGUGAGAAGGGGUUCCUUAACAGCCUGCAUUAGGCUAUGACUUUUCUUUGGAGCUAUGCCAUAUCAGGACCACAAACCAAAAUGGGAAGUGUUAGCCAUGAAAACCAUGUUUAUUACAGGAAGACUCUCUGUCAGAGC